rnacentral:misc_RNA from 1 species
UAGUGGGAUGAACUACUAUGCUUGCUUGUCUAUGCUGUCUUUGUUGAUUCUCACACCAUUUGCCAUUGCUGUUGAGGGACCACAAAUGUGGGCUCUAGGAUUUGAAAAGGCUGUCUCUCAAAUCGGUCCCCAGAUCGUCUGGUGGAUGGCGGCCCAGAGUGUAUUUUAUCACCUCUACAAUCAAGUUUCGUACAUGUCUUUGGAUGAGAUCUCUCCUUUGACGUUUAGUAUUGGAAACACCAUGAAACGUAUAUCAGUAAUCGUCUCUUCCAUCAUUAUCUUCCGUACACCCGUCCAGCCAGUCAACGCUCUUGGAGCUGCCAUUGCGAUUCUUGGAACUUUCUUGUACUCACAGGCAAAACAAUGAAGAGUGGGGAUUUGCAUACCGCGUUAGGGAUAAAAGACGUUGAAGAGAACCUUGAGGUGUUGCGAAUGACGUCUCUCAGGAUCCUCAGUCUACCCUUACUUUGGGUUGAGUAUGAAACUUAUGAAGUAUGUAGAUAGCAAUAAUGGGUUAAAAUUAACUCAAAUCCUAUAGAGUUACUAAGGCUGGUUUCCCUGUUUUGUUAUUAUUAUUCGUAGAGACAUCAACAAGUGUACUAAUAAACUGAAUACUUGGUUGAGAGUGGUAUAAAUUAGUUCAUUUAAACACACAUUUGGUUAAUAAACCUCCCAGAAUUUGGCUCAAAA